AAUGAAAGCGUCAACGUGAGUUACGUCCUUACCUGAAAAGGUUUGGCAAUCGAAUGAAACGUUUUCUUGAAUGGAAUAGGGAAUUGCAAUUGUUUCCCUUGAAC
rfam:Trichinella britovi scaffold493s, whole genome shotgun sequence.